GGUGAUUUCCACGCUGACUUCAGCUAGACUGGAAAUACCACAAGGUGAUUCCAGAAUAUUCUACACAUAGAGUGCUGAAGUGGUAUCGUACCGCAGCAUGUCUCUUUCCCUCAUCCCUCAGUGAAGGAAAGGCGCCUUAAUGGAUGUCUCAGCAAUUACGGUUUGGGGUGAGUUUUUUCCUGCUUUUGGAGAAAGGUAAGGAACCGUUUGUGGAAGCCUGAAGCAAUCCUGGUCCGAGCCCUUUCUCCGGCUGGCUUUGGGCAGCGGCCGCGGUCCUUUCGUGCCGUGGGGCAAUGGCACCACCUGGUGGGCUCGAUCCCACAGCCAUCCAUUGUUUUAAGAGAGGAAGCUUACAGCCCAAUUAUGAGUCAGCACAGAAUAUAUAAGAACCAAUCUACAUGAGAACCUUAUGCAGCCACGUUUCCAUGUCCUGUGGAAUAGGAGAUAAUACUGUGAACUGGAAAAGAUGCUGAGAUAAAAUCUUCUUUGACCUCUUGGAGAUUCCUCUUCCACAGAGUGGCCAUUCAGCAUCUCGAGAAGUGGAUUCUCAUUGUGGCACAUCCAGGUUCUAGGCUGAGCAAAUAAAGCUCAUGAGGAAAUGUUAAGCCCACAAAUGUCCUAAAGAACUCACCUGACUGGAAAGCAGCUAUUUCAGCGGGCAGAGAAAGCCAUGUGGGAGCAGUCUGGAGCACCUGAUCUGGCUGUGCAGCAAACAAUUGGCUGUGUGUUGUCUUCCCAGCAAACACACAACGAGGGCUGGUGAUUAACUCCACUUCUGUGAUAAACUAAUGAUUCUGAUCAUCUCUGCUCCUUUAUUGGUGCUGGGAGGUAAAAUAUGGAGCCAUAGCUCCUCCGAUAUUUCAUUCUACAGAUGAGUUCAUAACUUUAAGUUUGGAGAAUUUAUUUUUAUAAUUGAUACACACACAUUCAAGGUCAUAAAUAUUUUUUAAAUUGUAUUGGACCAUCACAAGUAUUUCUUUUUCCUUUCUGCCCUCCAGGAUACGUUAGUCACUAUUUUGAGAAAUAUUUUUAUCUCAGCCGGUAUAAUUUUGUUUGUUUUUUUUUUUUUAAUCAGGUUCUAUUUAACAGAUAUUAUUAAUUGCAUCAAAAUAUUUUAAAAGUCAGGAUUAGGAGAGAAUUGAAAGGGGUUCUGUUUACAGCCCAGAAAAUUUGCAUUUUCAGAGCCUGGUCUGGACAGUUUCUGACAGACACAAACACCCUGAGCUGACUGCAGUGAGCAGCUGAAGCACUGAACGUGCACACGCCGUGUCUGUGGUAGGAGUUGAGCUGUGUAUUUGUAUCUUCACCAAGAAAUAAACUCCCCCUGUUUUGCCAAGGCACCCGGGUUGACAGAGGGAUUAACUUCAGUAAAACAAAUGAAGGUUAAACAGUAACAAAACAACCCCCAAAUGGCACCUGACUUAUCUGCUCUGUGGCAGCACAGACUGAGGGGAAGAGGAGGAAGGAUUGCAGCAGCCUCCUCUCAGCACCGUUCUCCCCCAGCCUGGGAGAGUUUCACCCCCUUGCACUGGGCAGGGGAGCAGCAGGAGGGCAGGAGCUGGGCCCUCCCUGCAGCCCUGGGAGCAGGGAGGCACAGCCUGUGUGCAGGGGCAGGAAGGUGCCAGCCUGCUCCUGCAUCCCUGCAGGGCCUGCUGGAGCCCCGCUCCUGACACGCUGCCAGGCUUUAAAGUUUCUUCCUUUCACAGGACAUUUCAGUAUCCACAGGCGAGGGGGAUGCAGAAGGUAUUGGUGUUACAAACAAACAGCAAAGUUUACCACCCACUGUCUUGGUUGUCUUCUACACAUGGUUCCGUUUUACUUUUGGUCUGCCAUGGUUUCCAGAUGUUGGGGAAAAAUGUUUAAUUCUUGGGAAAAUUUUAAUUAAUGAAGAAUCCAGAAUCUUUUUUGCAGCAACUACUCAGUAGCUGAAGGGAAGAAAGGUAAAGUCCAUUUUAAGACCUCCCAAUGCUUCAGAUUUACAGGAGAGCUUUUCUGCAAUAUUCCAAAUGCUCAUUUCUAGAAGAACUGUAUUUAACAAAGGUAUCCCAACAUGCAUCUCUUACACACACACAAAAAUCAAAUGGAAAAGAAACAUGGAAAAAAAAAGAUGAAAGACUUGUGAUCAGAAAGUACAUGCAAACAGGACAGUGUGGUAAAAGAAAGAAAAAGAUGGGCAAUGGCCAUUUUUAUGCUCUCUGAAAGAAGUGACAAACUUGUAAGUCUGAAAGUCUGAUUCAGAAAAGGGAAGGGGAGCAGUGAUGGAUGUUCAAAGGCUGGAUUUAGAAUUGUUACUGAAGUUCAAAUUGGGAAUGUGUGCUGGGGAAGGCUCUGGGCAUCCCUCCCACUGCUGCUGCUAAAGCCAUUCCGAGAGGCAGCGGGCACGGCUGGGGCUGAGCCCCGUUUGGCCACAGCUUUGUCUGUAACCAGCUCAUGCCUGGCUGCACCCCGGGCUCCGAGGUCACCAAGGACACUCUCGGGGUCAGAAGCGGUGCCCAGCACAGCAGCUGUGCUGACACCCCACACUCAAACACCAGCACUGCACACAGACAGAGGAGCUGCAUCUUUCCUGGGCUUGGACUAAGCACUGUCCCCCCUGAAGUGCCACAAAACCUACACGGAUGCAUCAGUCAGUUCAGAAGGAGCUUGGCACUGAAGUUCCCUGCACCAAGGGCUCAGAUCCAGGCAGCCUGUCACAGGAGGGAGCUGUACACGAGGCUGUGCCUGUGGGACCAGCAGCCCCAGGUUUGCUGUCUGCCUGUGCAAUGCCCUUCCUGCUCUGCAGCAGCAAAUGCAGCUCGGGCACUGCUGCUCCUCAGGCACUGGGCACUUCUGGCCUGGCUUCACAGGAGCAACAGCACUUGUGCCUGCAGCAUGCUCUGCUCCUUGAGAAAGUGUCAGGCUUUGUUCUGAUAAAGGCAGAACAGUUCUGCCUCUGUUUUUCAAGCAGCACAUUGCCUAUGAGGAGAGAGAAAUUUAAAAAACUCACUGAUUUACCAUGUUAAAAAAAGAUGGCACAUUUAUUGCUACAUAAAUGUUAUAUACAUAGUGUUUUCUGUUACAUUGACAGAAAUUUUUUGAACUUCUUGCUGCUGGUUGGAAAGGUUUAUCAGCAAUACCUUGAAAUUUGACACAGGGUACAAAUCUGCAAUAAACCAACAAUGGAAACUGGAGAACAAGAUGAGAAGCAAUUCAUCUCGGACAAUUAGCUCUUACAAUACUCCAUAGGUACUACACGGUAUGCUAGAACCCUACUAUGGUCUUACAAUGCUAUUGUAAAUUUCUGAUAUUAAUGAACAGGUUAUGGUAAAUAACCCUACAUUUUUACUACCUAAUAUAGUAAAAUAAAGUAAGAAACUUUUUACUGAAAACUUUUUUUGAUUUCAAAAAUCUAGAAAGAGUAAUAUUUAGAAUUCAAGAAAUUUUCUUACAAGAUUAUUGUAUAAAAGACUAGCUACAGUGAAAAAUAAGCCAAAUGUUUUUUUCUUUCUAUUUUAUGAAGGAAAGCUUCUGGGCAUACUGCAAAGUCUAAUAUAGCCAAAAAGACAACAAGCUUAGAAGGAAAAAGGCCAGGCAGUGGCACGUGAUCACUUUCACACGUCAUAAGCAACAAAUUCCGUUUAGCUGAUAAACACUGAAAUGAAGAACAAGGCCACAGAUAUAAUCAGGUGUUAUUUGAUGAUAUAUGCAAAUUAAAGUAAUAGAAAUGAGUCCACUAAUUCCACAAACUGUUUUGUUAGGAACCAUCCAGAACAUGAGCUUAAAUUCAUUAGUUUAUUUUAUCAAUCCAUCUUUUGUUCUUUCAAAUUAAAUGACUUCGUAAAAAUUAUAGUUUUGUUCCUGUUUUGUGUGUGAACCAAUUGCCAGUGAUGAAAGAUGCACUAUAUAAACAAUAGCUCAGACAACCUUGGCUUAGGAAAUUUCCUCCCAUGGUCAUUGCAGUGGAAGACAGUUUCCAUGGAAGUUCAAAGGGAUUUUAACCAUUUCAACACAUCUGUGACAAAGGAAUACUUAUGGACACUAUUCUGGUGGAGAAACAUUUAAAGGUUUAAUGCUAAUAUGGCUUGGGACGGGGGUAUUUGCAUUUGAUUCACACUAUUUCUUCUCCACUGACAAGCCAUACAACAUGACAUGAUAGUUAACGUGUACAGGAAGGAAAAACUGGUGACCAUUGCUCUUAAGAUUCCAUUACAUAAUAAGCCCACCCUGCUGGUGGUUAUAUCAUCACACUACCUGCCACGGUGAAUUUAGGAUUUUACUAUUCACCAAAGUUACAGCCUGAAAAAAAUCUCCUUUGUAUUUUAAUGCAUUUUGUGCUUACAUACAGCUAACACUUUACAUGUACUAUAUGUAGUACUUACUGCUCGGAAAACAAAGCAACUCUAACAAAGUAGAUUCUCCCCACCCAAUUUACACUUCACGUUACAAGCUUUACUAUGAAGCCUAGAAGCCUAAAAAGGUUUUGUUUAUAAUUAGAAAAAAAAAAUGUUUGAAGAAAGUCUGAGGGAAAAUAAAAAUCACUUUUUAAAUCCAAGAAAUGUUAUGGUCACAGUAUUGCUCCAGCCUGCAGCCUUCAUGAGGCCUCUGAGUGGCUUGAGGCACAGAGCUCAGUAUGGAAGGGGAACUGUGACCAUAACUGUUCAGGUUACCAGAGAUCAAAAAUAACAUAAAAAAAGCUAUACCAAGGAAUAGUUUCCUAUUGCAUGGAAAACACUAGUCAUAUGGCAAAAGGAGAGGAAAGGACAACAAAAGACUUUUCCCUUCCUUUUUUAAGACACUAAUAGGUAUGCUGGGAAUGCUACGGGUCGACGGUUGUCACUGCUUUGUUCUCUGAAUGUGAACAGCUCUAGUAAAUGCUGGCAUUCAGCUGAAAUUUUAUCAGCUUUUAACAUGUUAACUUUUCCCUUUAUAUGUAGACCUUUACAGUUCCAUAACAAUAAAUAAAAUUUGUAGUUACAAUGCAUUUGUCAAUUCAGUUUAGGCACAAGGCAACUUCCACAAUGAGUGGAGAGAUCACAACAGUCUCUGAUUGUGCAGAAGCGACACACUGCUUGCAACAGAAUGAUAUGUUCAGAGUAUCUCAUGGGCUGAAAUUCUGUCUGAAGAUCUUGUAUCUUCACUCCUGAUGCAGGUGUUGACCAGUAGCUUUGAUCAUAAGAUUGCAUUUGGGUUUUCUUGCUUCAAGUGUUUUCUCCUGUCAGGUUUGUGUCUUCAUAUAAUGUUAGUUGUCUGUGUCCUUGUGAAGAAAGGUCACCUUCUGUGUAUCCUACCAAUAAUUCUGGAAUUCUAGAAGGAAAUUUAGGAGAAGAAAGAGGUUAUUAGGAAAAGAAUAAUUAAAAAGCUUAGUAUCAACACUAGAGCCCUAAUCUGAACUGGAUUUGGUGGCAUUUUCAGUCAUUUAGGUGCAAAAGAAGAUCACAUUGAGAGCCCCUGCAAUCCGCCAUUCCAGAGAUGUCUGUCUUACACAUGAUAUAUGGAAGAGAUUACUACAAAGAACCUUCUGCUGGGCCCCUCUGGGUAAGGCAGAAAGAAUCAUCUGCACAUCUCAGACCUUCAGUUGGUGCCUGACCUUGCUCUCCAAAUCAAGCAGUGCCAAGCUCACUCCCUCCUGAAGGUUUCCCAACUAUGCAGAAUACCAACCAACAACACGAAUAAACCCAAAAGACUGAUAUUCCUGGAGGGCUCCCCACGAGUGUGUUUCAAUGAGAUGUUACAUACUGGGCUACCUUGCAAAGCUGCAAACAUUACUUUUAAAUUUGAACUACCUUCACGAAUACAGGCUGUGACUUAAGACAGCUACCAGUCUCUGUUGGGCAAAUGAGAGGAGUUAGAAUGACUGGCCUUGAGCCAGAGGGCAAAUCUCUCUGGGGUGAGGAGUCCCUGAGACUGUAUCAGCACUGGGAAACAAUACGUGGAUUUUUAAAUCAACUAAUGUGAUAUCUGGACCAUUUAAAGAUGUAUAAUUCAUCUCUAAUAAGCUUGGCUUAUCUAGCAAGCUGUUCACUCUUCCUCUGAUGUCAUGCCAAGAAGGCCACCUGAGCCAAGAGACGUAGCCAUUGGCAACAAGGCAAGAAAAUAGACACUGACGACAAUUUCUUGGGGUUUUAUUAUAAACCCAAACAAAUCUGCAGCCUUCUGCUUCUGCUGAGAGACGUGAAAGCACAGAGAAGUUCGGUGCUGCUGGCAGCUCAGAACUCAGCCCUCCACAUCCAGGUGUCCCCCACUGGGCCAGCAGAAAGCACAGGAGGCACCGUGACGUACCUGGCUGGUGUUCACAUAUGACCCAUAGGGUUGGUAGUUUCACUCAGGCCAGGGUGGCUUCCUGGGUGUGCUGUUGGUGGCUCUGCCGAUACGGCAGAAACUUUUUCUUCUUCCCUUCUCUUAAGGCAGGCUGCUUUAGGGUUUAGGUUUCGUUCUGCAACAGAAGAAUCAGAGUUCUCAAUAUCCCAUACACCGACACCACGGGCAAUAUCGAUACAAGAACCCUGGAGUAAAAAUAGCUCUGCAGCUUCCCUCUUCAGCUGCUGUGUUCCCUGCUCACCCACAGGUGUCCAAAGCUGCAGACAAUCACCACUGAAAGUCCUGCCAGACAGCUCCUAAACUGCUAUUUAAAAACAACCAAAGAGACAAAAAGCCAAGCCCAAACCUUUUCAGCAGCCUACAUACACCUUCAGAAACUUUUAAAAAGCACCUUCUUUAUCAGCAUAAAACACUUAAGUGCUAAAUGAGAACUGUCUAUAAUUUACAAUACAAUAAAAUUGAAUGUAUCCAUUUUGUUGGUAGGCUGAAUUCUUACCAACCUUGCUGACAUCACACCAGUUUUAAUAAUGUUGCUGCUUCUUCCUUCCCAGUAUUAGCCAGCUGUUAGGGCAGGGGAGGCAGCACACCCUCAAUGGAUAGUUCUCAUCAGCCUCAAUCUGUGAAAUCACCUUGUGCCCAUCUUGGUUCAAUCAGAAGACUGUGAUGACAGUCACAUACGGCAGGAGCAUUAUUUUUUUUCCCAACCCUAUUUCCUCUCACAUUAAAGCCAAUACUUUAUAAUAACCAGCUGUGGACCAGCUAUCAAGGUAUUUUCAUCAGUGUGUUUCCACUUCCCCACUUAGCUUCAAUAGAUGCAGAUUUGGAUCUCAUUUCCAAAUAAUGACAGUUUCUAAAAGUCAACUGUUUCUGUUCUUCAAAAUGGCUUUUCAUGAAUCAAAUACAGAAGAUGUCAAUCACAGGGGUCCAAAAGACACACAAAAACCAUGUAAUAUAUUCCACUGUGGAAUUUAAUCAACAUUUUAAGGUAUUUUCUAGCUGUCAGUACAUUCUGUUUUGCAGUUGGAGAUGGCAGAUACAAUUAUAACUGCAAGAAGUCUGCCAAAACUGAACAGACAGCACAAGCCCUUUUCUUGCACUGCACAGGCACCCCUCUAGUAACUGCAGUUUAGUGACCCCUGUGCAUUUUAGCUCAUCUGACAGAGACUAUUUUGGAUGGACUUGAUAGUUCUGCUGUCACCAAAGUCAUUAUCAGCAGCCUCCUACUGCAUUUCCUUAAGGAUGAGCACUCCUAAAGAGCCUACCGGAAAAAACCCAAAACUGCUAACUUUCCUUAAUCACAGUUCUCUUUGUCUAAAUGUGGCUUGCCUUGAAGUUUUAAAUAUUUAAUUGCGUGGAAACUUUGAAAGGAAGUUAAUUUACAGUGAUUUAGGAAAUGGAGAUAAAAACCCCUGGCCUACACUGGGAGCUUAAAUCUGAAAUGGCUCAUUUUGAAUAGCACCAAUCACAAAAUGAGAAGCGUCUUUACCAGCAGAGAGAGGAAAUUGUUGAUGCAAUUACACAAAGCACUGUGCAAGCUCCUGUGGGUGUCACACAGCUCCGGUCACUCAUGGAGGAACAGGUGCAGAGGGGAGGGAAGGCAAACGGGAGCCAGGGCCCCUCCACGCGGAGCACAGGGGACGGGAGGAAGGAACUGCUCCAUUCACACUGCCUGUGCAGAGGGGCCAGUUGAGCUCUGAGCACUACAGUUUUCUACCACAGACACCAGGGCUGGAAGUCCUCUGACCAAGGCAGAAUGAAUUUGUUAACAUGGAGCUUCCUGUGAAUUACAGAAUCUGUGAAAGCAGGGAGAUAGACUUGAUGCUUUUUAAACACAAAAGCCAUGCCUGAUUAACGUCCCUCUGACUUCGUAAUGCUCAACCUUAUCUUCUACACCACGACAACCAUUUUCAGACCAAAACAGUGCCUGAGACCUCUCAGAGAUGCUAAACUGGGUUUUACAAAGGCCCCAGCUGCUCUGCAGAACAGUUGCUCUGUGCCUUGGAAGAGCUCUGGCUGGAGACUGUGUGUUUCCUUACUUACAACUGGAUCAGUAAAAGUGUCUGAAAACACAGCAUCUCAUCCUUACUGCAUGAAGUACAUAAGUUUGUGUUAAGUUAGUUAUUUAGCCCCUUUCAAUAAACUUCUAACUUUUGCUUGGAUCUUCUGUGUAAAAUGCAAGCAACAAAUGAGAAAAAGGAAGUAAAAAUGAGUUAUGCAAAAAUAAAACAUUGUUAUCACUUGUUGACAUCAGUGAUUCAAAGAUGUAGUGCACUGAGCAAAUACAACCACUGACAUAUGCACAUCUCAGACUUUUCACUUGACACACUUCCAUCAGUGACACGCUGAGGAAGAUGGCUGCCCAUGAGUCCCAAACAGCAAAGCACGAGGACACUCAUUUGGGAAGUGCCACCUCCACAGAACGAGACAAUUUCUGUUGGAAGGGACUCCCAGCCACCAUCCAGUCUGACUCAGGGCAGACCAAAAGUUAGGGCAAGGUGCCCCAGAACUUCAACUCAUCUUUGGCAAAAAUAAACAUGGAGAUUUAAAGUCAACUGUGGCUUCACCAGCUCACAAGAACAGAAGAGUUGAAGAACCAAAUGUUAAUUCCUAGAACCAUCUCUCCUUAUGAGAAUGAAUGGCAAAAAGUAGUUUUCCUUCUGCACCUACCAGCAAGCCUAUUGUUUCUUUCUUGGAAAAAUUUGAAGGAAUCAAAGAAAGAAGAUUCAUGCAAACCCAGCUCUGAUUCAAUUAGAGUACAAGCUUCCUCCCUCCCCAGUACAUGUUUAAUACAAAAUCUUAUGAAAACACAAAUAAAUUCAUUGCAUUUUAAUAUUUCAAUUAUGUGGAGUUCAUCCUAAAACAGAUCUCUAAUUGUUGCUAAAUAUUUUCUAGUACUAAACAAGUGCUUGUUACAAUUUAAAGCAAGAUGUAUCAAUAGUUUAAUUACAGAAUUUACCUUGAAAACUUAAAUGAUGACUAAUUGAACAGGAAAAAGAAAAGUCAAAUUAUAAACCUUAUACUUUGUUCCCCUUAAAAAAAAAAAGUGAUUCUUUGUUUUUUCUAAAGAGCUUCAGCAUCACUACAGAUGCAAACACACUUUCAGUGGCUCGUGCACCUGGCUGAGCAGGUCUCAAGACACUGCUCCAAGGACAAAGCUGCCCCAGGCGUGCCCCAGCCCCGAGACCACUGACCUCUCACUUGCUGCUCCAGGCUGAGGAUCACUGCCACGGCCUGGUGGAGGAUCAGCAGCUUCGUCUGCGGCUUCUCGCUCUUCAGGUGCAGCUGGCACAUGCGGCCCAGCUCCUUGAACGCCUCGUUGAUGUCGCGCACGCGCAAACGCUCCCGGGCGUUGUUGGCCAUUCUCCUCUCCUUCUCUCUUUCUAUUUUCUGCUCUGGGUUUAAAUCCUCAUCUUCGUUAGUACUGCUGCGAGAAAGGAAACGUAACAGGGUAUUGAAAUAACACCGGUAUUUCAAACAAGUGAUCCUGGUGCUGACUCCAAAUGGAUGAAGAGUAAAUAACUUCCAACAAAGUUUUUGCUAUUUUCUAAUGCAUCAGCUUAUAUAAAAACACAUUCAAGGAAUUUUCAAUUUCAUGCGCUUAUUUAAAAGUUUUACUUUUGUUAAAGACCACACUGGCAAAUUCUAGAACUAUUUUUCUUCUAUUCAGUGUAGAGCUAAACAGCUAUGUUCCGAAUUCUUGAACUGCCUCAAAUGAUAUCAAGUUGCACCUUUUUUAAUAUAGGUUCAUCCAAUUUAGUCUAAAACCAUGCAAAACCUCUGUUCUACUAAAACUAACACACUAAAUGCCAUUGAGCAUGUCUUAGUACAGAUUAUGCUACCUGUGGUUGCAAAAUUCUGAUUGUUUACUGUUACCUCAAAUUUCAAUGGUUGUAUCAGGCCUAUCAGGCAGAUCCUGAAGCAUUUACCCAGUUUUGUGUCUGUGGCUCAGGAAGGACAAAGUGUUUCAGGAGGGUAUUUAGCCAGUGUUAGCUGAGGAGCUGGAGCUCUCCACUGCCACAGACUCACAUCUGGACAGGCAGCCCAGGCCCAGGUACAAAGUAUCAGUCAUUUCUGACAUUGUCCCAUCCUCUGUGCUGGGCAGGGCCCUCAACCUUCUGCUGCUUGCAUGUACAGGCAGACAUCAGGCAUGGCACUAGUGUGAGUGGUGACACUACUUGUGUAGUAGAUGUGACAGAUGAUUUUCCCAGCUAAUCCUCUACUUUGUAUUUCAAUAUAAGCAGAUAGUAUAAACUUUUUCUCCCUUUCAGCUGCCUGUUGGUGUAUGCAGUGCAGUAACACAAAAGCCUUGCAAUAACUUUAUCAAAUGUAAGGCCAACGUGCUACUGAGCAUUAUCAAAGCACAGAUUCUCCACAUUAUGUCAGCAACACACCUUGUUCUGCCUCUGGAGGAGACCUUGAUAUCCUUCUGGGAGGACUCAUCAUCUGAUUUCAUGUCGUCUGAUGAGGGAGGUUCAUGGAUAUUUUCAUCCUUCUCCUUAUGCUCAGACUUGAUUUCUGUUGGACCUAUAG